CAGUCGCCGCGGGAAUACGUAGGUGGCAAGCGUUGUCCGGAAUUAUUGGGCGUAAAGGGCUCGCAGGCGGUUUCUUAAGUCUGAUGUGAAAGCCCCCGGCUCAACCGGGGAGGGCCAUUGGAAACUGGGAAACUUGAGUGCAGAAGAGGAGAGUGGAAUUCCACGUGUAGCGGUGAAAUGCGUAGAGAUGUGGAGGAACACCAGUGGCGAAGGCGACUCUCUGGUCUGUAACUGACGCUGAGGAGCGAAAGCGUGGGGAGCGAACAGGAUUAGAUACCCCCGUAGUCCCUGUCUCUUAUAC
rnacentral:rRNA from 1 species